UGGAGGUAUCAGAAGUGCGAAUGCUGACAUAAGUAACGAUAAAGCGGGUGAAAAGCCCGCUCGCCGGAAGACCAAGGGUUCCUGUCCAACGUUAAUCGGGGCAGGGUGAGUCGACCCCUAAGGCGAGGCCGAAAGGCGUAGUCGAUGGGAAACAGGUUAAUAUUCCUGUACUUGGUGUUACUGCGAAGGGGGGACGGAGAAGGCUAUGUUGGCCGGGCGACGGUUGUCCCGGUUUAAGCGUGUAGGCUGGUUUUCCAGGCAAAUCCGGAAAAUCAAGGCUGAGGCGUGAUGACGAGGCACUACGGUGCUGAAGCAACAAAUGCCCUGCUUCCAGGAAAAGCCUCUAAGCAUCAGGUAACAUCAAAUCGUACCCCAAACCGACACAGGUGGUCAGGUAGAGAAUACCAAGGCGCUUGAGAGAACUCGGGUGAAGGAACUAGGCAAAAUGGUGCCGUAACUUCGGGAGAAGG
rnacentral:rRNA from 1 species